rfam:Bacterium TMED15 isolate TMED15 142587, whole genome shotgun sequence.
GGGGUAAUAGCUCAGCUGGGAGAGCGCAACCUUCGCAUGGUUGAGGUCACGGGUUCAAGUCCCGUUUACUCCA